GGCGAACGCUGGCGGCGUGCUUAACACAUGCAAGUCGAACGGAAAGGCCCUGCUUUUGUGGGGUGCUCGAGUGGCGAACGGGUGAGCAACACGUGAGUAACCUGCCCUUGACUUUGGGAUAACUUCAGGAAACUGGGGCUAAUACCGGAUAGGAGCUCCUGCUGCAUGGUGGGGGUUGGAAAGUUUCGGCGGUUGGGGAUGGACUCGCGGCUUAUCAGCUUGUUGGUGGGGUAGUGGCUUACCAAGGCUUUGACGGGUAGCCGGCCUGAGAGGGUGACCGGCCACAUUGGGACUGAGAUACGGCCCAGACUCCUACGGGAGGCAGCAGUGGGGAAUAUUGCACAAUGGGCGGAAGCCUGAUGCAGCAACGCCGCGUGCGGGAUGACGGCCUUCGGGUUGUAAACCGCUUUCGCCUGUGACGAAGCGUGAGUGACGGUAAUGGGUAAAGAAGCACCGGCUAACUACGU
rnacentral:rRNA from 1 species